rnacentral:rRNA from 1 species
GUGGGGUGCAAGCGUUAUCCGGAAUUAUUGGGCGUAAAGAGAUGCGUAGGUGGUCAGUAAAGUUUUUGGUGAAAUCCCCGGGCUCAACCCGGGAACUGCCAAGAAUACUCACUGACUUUGAGGGAAUCAGGGGGUGCUGGAACUCGUGGUGUAGUAGUAAAAUGCGUUGAUAUCACGAGGAACGCCAAAGGCGAAGGCAGGCACCUGGGAUUCUCCUGACACUGAGGCUCGAAAGCGUGGGGAGCGAAACGGAUUAGAUACCCAUGUAGUCCACGCCGUAAACGAUGGAUACUAGAUGCUUGGGGUAUUGACCCCCUGGGCGUCGUAAGCUAACGCGUUAAGUAUCCCGCCUGGGGAGUACGGUCGCAAGACUA